UGGGGAAUAUUGGACAAUGGAGGAAACUCUGAUCCAGCAAUUCUGUGUGUGUGAAGAAGGUUUUAGGACUGUAAAACACUUUUAGUAGGGAAGAAAAAAAUGACGGUACCUACAGAAGAAGCAACGGCUAAAUACGUGCCAGCAGCCGCGGUAAUACGUAUGUUGCGAGCGUUAUCCGGAAGUAUUGGGCUUAAAGGGCAUCUAGGCGGUAAGACAAGUUGAAGGUGAAAACCUGUGGCUCAACCAUAGGCUUGCCUACAAAACUGUUGAACUAGAGUACUGGAAAGGUGGGUGGAACUACACGAGUAGAGAUGAAAUUCGUAGAUAUGUGUAGGAAUGCCGAUGAUGAAGAUAACUCACUGGACAGAAACUGACGCUGAAGUGCGAAAGCUAGGGGAGCAAACAGG
rnacentral:rRNA from 1 species